CUUCUUUUUAAGAUCUUCACUAAGCUUUUAAUUAAUACAUUCGUCUCUUUCUUGAAGCACAAAUACCCCCUUCAUAAAAUCACUUGUUUGGACAUGUAGGGGCGCAGGUGGUUGCUUGAUUCAGGCAGAUUUGGUGCAGCUGCCAUUUUGGGAUCAUUUUGACCUCCUUUGAUAAAGUUGUACCCAUAGGAGAAAGAGUUAUUGGGCUGUUAUUUGGGCUGACCUUCGGGCCGACGGGCCAAACUCUCGGGCUGCGCAAGGUGUGACUCGGGCUUAAGAAGAGAGGCCCAACAUUUGCAUAUUUGUAUUCUUUAAUUCUUUCUCAUCAACACGUGUGUAAAUUAUUUUGUAACUAGAGAGUAGCUUGAUAUGUAUUCGAACUUUCUGGAUCAGCAAAGUAACCUCGUAUUCUUUCUUGACGUUUAUUAUAUUUAAUUUAAUAC